AUGUGUAGAAAAGAAAAGUUCUCGGAAUGUCCUGAAAAUCCACGGAGGCACUUUUUGGAAUUAAUAAGAAUUUCUGGGCGAAAGAAAUACAUCAGGGGGCCCAGGGCCUAUCCACGAGACAGGGGGCGCGCCCCCCUGUCUCGUGGGCCCUUGCACCUCCACCGACCUCAACUCCAACUCCAUAUAUUCCGUCUCGGGAAGAAAAAAAUCAGAGAGAAAGUUUCAUCGCGUUUUACGACACGGAGCCGCCGCCAAGCCCUAAUCUCUCUUGGGAGGGCUGAUCUGGAGUCCGUUCAGGGCUCCGGAGAGGUGGAUUCGUCGCCGUCGUCAUCAUCAACCAUCCUCCAUCACCAAUUUCAUGAUGCUCACCGCCGUGCGUGA
rnacentral:rRNA from 1 species